GCGGUUGUGGCGGAAUCGGUAGACGCGCAGCAUUGAGGGUGCUGUUCUUGUUAAUCUGGAGUGGAAGUUCAAGUCUUCUCAGCCGCA
rfam:Orientia tsutsugamushi Boryong complete genome